rnacentral:misc_RNA from 1 species
UAAAGUGCGAUAUGUAGUGCGAUUUGCAUGAAUCUGUGAGUCAUCUAAUCUUUGAACGCAACUUGCGCCUCUUUGAGGCAUGUCUGUUUGAGUGCCGCAUACCUUUUGCAGCAAUGCGAUUUGACCAAUGUCUCCUCCGCGCGGACUCGGUCUAAACGUAGCCAGAUGGUGGUUAAUGUUACUAGCCCGAGUGCUAAGCGCAUUCUUGGUUCUAGUAACAAAGGCCAUGUGUCAUCACGCCUUUUUUUAUUUGGCCUCAAAUCAGGCAAGACUACCCGCUGAACUUAA